UUGUCUGGUGCCCCGAAGCCUUCUCUGCUGCAGAAGAGCUGGACCUCAUAGGGUUUGCAGAGCCCGGUUAAGGCAUCAUGGGUGCUGAGCAAAAGAGGGAUCAUUCCUGCCGCCCCCAGGGAGAGAUACAGGGGAAAAUCCUUGAGAGCAAGCCUAGGGCUGCUUUUGAACUGGCAUGGGAAAAAACAUGGGAGCCCAGAGGGCUGGCCAGCAGUGCUAGAGUGUGUGGAGAGCUUGUGGGACUGUCACACUGCCUCAAAGGCAGGCGUGAGGUUUUAUUGAACUCUUGCUGAAUGGAUUUGGAGAUGUGUCGUGGUUGGGGUGAACUGAUGGUGCUCUGGGAAAAUACAGCCAAGGUUGCAGUGACUGCUGGGAAACCAAUGCUGAACACAAGAUUAAUGCUGCAGUAGCUCUCAGUGCCCUUCCCAGAGCCAUCGGAGCUUCUUCGGCGGCCCUGCGUCGUUCGGGCCGUCGGGAGACCCAGGACGAGCGCUCAGAGCAGCAGAGCGUGAGUCCUGCUGCUGCAGCGCCGGUGAGAGGGAGCGGCUCGUCAUCGCCACUUCUCCCCAGCUCACCUCAGCAGGUGGAGAGCAUGGCCACGGAGCUGGACGCCCGCUGUCCCAUCUGUCUGGACAGCCGGGUGAACCCCAGCUACGUGCUGCCAUGCCUCCACCGCUUCUGCUUCGCCUGCAUCCAGCGGUGGGCUGAGAGCAAGCCCGAGUGCCCCCUCUGCAAGCGCAGGGUGAGCUCCAUCGUGCACUUGGUGCGGGCGGACAACAGCUUCAAGGAGCUCGUCAUCCCACCACCUGCGGAGGCACCGCUCAGCGCCCACCUUAGACAGAGUGUUUUCAUCCACUGUCAAGCUACAGCACUACAAGCAGAGGCUGCAAGCCUGCUGCCCAGGGCUCUUGUGGGUGGUCUCCAGUCCCACAUCUUUGCAUCCGUCUUCAGGGAGCACCCAUCUUUAUUUUAGCCCCUGCUACCCUGGCCGCACCAGGAGCUGGGGCAGAUGUUUGGGGAUAAUCACCAGGAAGCAUCUGGGGUUGAGAGACUUGUGUUUAACUUGAGCUUCUUUGGUCUGUCUGAGGAGCACCACAUGCAGCUGCUGCAGCCUUGCUUGCAAAGGCACACAGCAGGUUUUGUUCGCCGGCUUAUUACCAUUGCCGUGGAGCAGUGCAAUGAGAAGGCGCACCAUGUGCUGCACAGCCAUGCUGCUAGGAGACAGGAGGGCAGCUCUGCUGCUUCCCUGGAAGGGAAUCCUGCCCCUGGAGUGGAGCCGUCCAGCAGCUUUGUUGUGUCCAGCACACGGGAGCUCCUCACCAGCUUCUCAAAUGCCUUCCUGAGGAUCCCAGCCAUGUCCCCUCCACUUCCAGCCAGUGCAGUGAACCUACCCCUGUGAGGCCCUGUCGCAGGCAGAAGGACCAGCAGCAGAGCCUCAUUACCACCCAGCAAGAGGCCACAUCAUCUACACUAGAAAGGUCCUCCAGAAGCUGGUGAAACAAGCUGGUCCACGGGGACCAGGAGGCUUUCCUUAGUAACCUAGAAGUAAUGGGCACAUAAUAAAACAAAGGCAUUAAAAUUACCGUAUCAGUAUAUGGCUGCCAAGGACAAAAGUGAAGAUGAGUGCCAUACAGCUCCACAGAUCAUCCCCUAGCCUUUAAAAAUGGGUGCAACACUUGGCCAUCUCUGGUCUUCGGUUCCUCCCCCACGCUUCACAACCUUCCAAAGAUGAAUGGCCUCACAGUGAUACCAGGCAGCCCACUCGGCACCAUCAGACACGUUCCAUCGGUGCCAAGGGAUUUGUAUGGCUUAAGUUUUGCUGUUGGAGCAAAUAACGCCCUACCUUGGGUUCCCAGUUUAGCCAUACCAGCCCUCUGAUACAUUCGUUUGUUCAUUUGUUUUCCUGAGCAUCAGGAUGCCCUGUUCUUGUUGGAGAAGAUCCAAGUCAUGAUAGUCCUUUUGAUCUUUAUCCUUCAGAGCUGGCUCCCCUAGAGCUGUUCCACAGCUACCUCUUACCUGAAAAAGCCAAAGCUGUCCUUCCUGAGGCACAGGGAGUGUUUUGCUACUCUUGCAACUCACCUUCCUCACCCUCUACAGGAUCUUGAAUUCCUCUGUACUAGGGUUACUACAGUCAAAGCUGCUGUUGACAAUCACAAGUCUGACCAGUUCCUCCAUGCUCAUGAGUUACAGAUCCAAGAUGGCAUCACCCCAGGUUGGUGGAUCCAGCGUCUGUCACCCCUACUCUCUCCAAAAAUCACCCUGAUAGAUUUUCUGUUGCUGCAGAUGCCAGGCAGGUUGAAGAUUGCCAGGAGAACUAAUGUCAGUGACUGGAGAGCAAGUCAUGCCAGCAAUAUUGUACUUCUGUGUCCAGCACAGGUGUUCUAGCUCAAACUUAGCAACGGGGAAUAUAAGAAGGCAGUACCUGGAGAACCUUUCUCAGGGGUCAACAGGGGUCAAACAUACUCCCUUAAAACAUCAGAAAACAAAGUAAGGUGGGGUGUUCUGAAGUUUGGUUCAUUGGUUGGAUUUUGGUUUGUACAGUUUGUCAUUAUUGUUCAAGCAAUAAAAUACGUUCAGUCAGAAA